rnacentral:rRNA from 1 species
CCAAUAGCGUAUAUUAAAGUUGUUGCAGUUAAAAAGCUCGUAGUUGAAUUUCGGGGUCAGCAAGUUGGUCGUGCCACUGGUAUGUACUGGCUUUGCUGAUUCCUCCUUCUUGUAGAACCGUAAUGCCAUUAAGUUGGUGUUGCGGGGAAACAGGACUGUUACUUUGAAAAAAUUAGAGUGUUUAAAGCAGGCUAACGCUUGAAUACAUUAGCAUGGAAUAAUGAAAUAGGACGACGAUCCUAUUUUGUUGGUUUCUAGGAUUGACGUAAUGAUUAAUAGGGAUAGUUGGGGGCAUUAGUAUUCAAUUGUCAGAGGUGAAAUUCUUGGAUUUAUUGAAGACUAACUACUGCGAAAGCAUUUGCCAAGGAUGUUUUCAUUAAUCAAGAACGAAAGUUAGGGGAUCGAAGACGAUCAGAUACCGUCGUAGUCUUAACCAUAAACUAUGCCGACUAGGGAUCGGAUGAUGUUAAUUUUAUAAUGACUCAUUCGGCGCCUUACG